rnacentral:rRNA from 1 species
GGUGGAUUAGUGGCGAACGGGUGAGUAACACGUGGGCAAUCUGCCCUUCACUCUGGGACAAGCCCUGGAAACGGGGUCUAAUACCGGAUAACACUCUGUCCUGCAUGGGACGGGGUUAAAAGCUCCGGCGGUGAAGGAUGAGCCCGCGGCCUAUCAGCUUGUUGGUGGGGUAAUGGCCUACCAAGGCGACGACGGGUAGCCGGCCUGAGAGGGCGACCGGCCACACUGGGACUGAGACACGGCCCAGACUCCUACGGGAGGCAGCAGUGGGGAAUAUUGCACAAUGGGCGAAAGCCUGAUGCAGCGACGCCGCGUGAGGGAUGACGGCCUUCGGGUUGUAAACCUCUUUCAGCAGGGAAGAAGCGAAAGUGACGGUACCUGCAGAAGAAGCGCCGGCUAACUACGUGCCAGCAGCCGCGGUAAUACGUAGGGCGCAAGCGUUGUCCGGAAUUAUUGGGCGUAAAGAGCUCGUAGGCGGCUUGUCACGUCGGAUGUGAAAGCCCGGGGCUUAACCCCGGGUCUGCAUUCGAUACGGGCUAGCUAGAGUGUGGUAGGGGAGAUCGGAAUUCCUGGUGUAGCGGUGAAAUGCGCAGAUAUCAGGAGGAACACCGGUGGCGAAGG